rnacentral:rRNA from 1 species
UGGGGAAUAUUGCACAAUGGGCGAAAGCCUGAUGCAGCGACGCCGCGUGAGGGACGAAGGCCUUCGGGUUGUAAACCUCUUUCAGCUCCGACGAAGCGAGAGUGACGGUAGGAGCAGAAGAAGCACCGGCCAACUACGUGCCAGCAGCCGCGGUAAUACGUAGGGUGCAAGCGUUGUCCGGAAUUAUUGGGCGUAAAGAGCUCGUAGGCGGUUUGUUGCGUCGGCUGUGAAAACCCGGGGCUCAACUCCGGGCCUGCAGCCGAUACGGGCAGACUAGAGUUCGGCAGGGGAGACUGGAAUUCCUGGUGUAGCGGUGAAAUGCGCAGAUAUCAGGAGGAACACCGGUGGCGAAGGCGGGUCUCUGGGCCGAUACUGACGCUGAGGAGCGAAAGCGUGGGGAGCGAACAG